UAGGGAAUCUUCGGCAAUGGGGGCAACCCUGACCGAGCAACGCCGCGUGAGUGAAGAAGGUUUUCGGAUCGUAAAGCUCUGUUGUAAGUCAAGAACGAGUGUGAGAGUGGAAAGUUCACACUGUGACGGUAGCUUACCAGAAAGGGACGGCUAACUACGUGCCAGCAGCCGCGGUAAUACGUAGGUCCCGAGCGUUGUCCGGAUUUAUUAGGCGUAAAGCGCACGCAGGCGGUCUGUCAAGUCGGAUGUGAAAUCCCCGGGCUCAACCUGGGAACUGCAUUCGAAACUGGCAGGCUAGAGUCUUGUAGAGGGGGGUAGAAUUCCAGGUGUAGCGGUGAAAUGCGUAGAGAUCUGGAGGAAUACCGGUGGCGAAGGCGGCCCCCUGGACAAAGACUGACGCUCAGGUGCGAAAGCGUGGGGAGCAAACAGGAUUAGAUACCCUGGUAGUCCACGCCGUAAACGAUGUCGAUUUGGAGGUUGUGCCCUUGAGGCGUGGCUUCCGGAGCUAACGCGUUAAAUCGACCGCCUGGGGAGUACGGCCGCAAGGUUA
rnacentral:rRNA from 1 species